rnacentral:tmRNA from 1 species
GGGGGUGACUGGAUUUGACAGCGAGCCGAGAUGGUACGUAAGCAUGCGGAGUGACGACUGUGGACUCCAUAAUCACGUCGGUCGAAAAAUUAAUUGGCGAAACUAAGUACGCUCUCGCUGCCUAAACGAAGUACAGUAGUUUACUGGCCUAAUUCUCUUACAAGGUAGGAGAACGAGACAUCGCUCCAAGGAUGUAGUCCCGAAUCUAAGGAUCAAGCGGUGCAGGUUAAAUCGGGAAUAGUCAGGUUAGGCCUCGAUAAUCUGAUGAAAUUUAGAGGAUAAGGUUGCAGUUGGUGGCUUGGGUCUUGCUGCAGCACGAAAAUGAAGGCCAAGAUAAGCAUGUAGAAAGCGUAUGGUUUCCUCGUGUGGACGAGGGUUCGAUUCCCUCCACUUCCAC